AAACGAUCCUCCUGCCUCAGCCUCCCGAGGAGUUGGGACUACAGGUUCUUUUGGGCUCCCUCCGUUCCACAUCUAUAUGUUUGGUCUUCCACAGUGAGAAUUCUGGCUCCCAACAGUUCAAUAUAUUUACACGUUUGCUCAAUAAUAAGAUACACGUUAAAUAGUUUCAGAAAUGCUUUGCUCUGUGAUUGCAAAAACAAAUCCACUAUAAAGAGGUUGGGAUUUGUUUUCCGGUUCUCCGCUCCCUUGCCGCGAUUGGAGGGACACUGACGAAUUCCUCGGUUGGUUUUUCUUCUGUGCCCACCUCCAGUGUGGUUAUUUUUCAUUUUAAACACAGUCGAGUUCCUUCUUCCUGUUUGUUUUCAGUCUCAUGACAACACCCCCCGUCACUUUCUAGCCCUUUAAAUUUGUAGAAUAUGCCCAUUGUGGCGAUGGGUAUAGUUGUCAAAACUCAUGAAACUGUAUGUACACCGGAGAUGGGUUGCUUUAUCACAUAUUUUAUAUCUCAUUAAAGUAGAUUUUUUACAAAGUC